AAAUUAUUUGUACGGUGCUUGUGGCGCCAUCGAUUGUUAAAUUAAUAUAAUGUAAAACGUUCUUUGCGGGGCAAACUGGAAGCAGCAUAAAAUUUCGGCAGGACUGCGAAACUCAAAAUUCCCUAGAAUUUGUUAAGACUUACAGCUGACAGUUACGUAACAAAAUGACGGCCGUUAGGGAGCUCCGGCAUUACCCGGAAGUGUAACACUCAAGUAUGGAAAACGAGACUCUCUUCAAAAUGAGGUAUAUCCGUAUCUGCAUCGUAGCGAGGGUGUGCUCUCAAUGGUCAUGGUGUUUGUGGGCGGAGCUGGAGAAAGACGAAUAAAAAAGAAGAAAGAGAACGAUUUCAACGGUCGCCAUUUUAACGGUCGUCGAAAAAUUGCAAACAAGCUUCUGAUGUAAUAAAGCCGUACACAUGGUAUAUAGGGGUUUGAUUUUGGUUGAAAUUUGAGUACGUAAAUAUAUAGAAGACCAGGAUAAGGAGACAAAGGAAUCGGUUGACAUAUGAUCUUUUAUAUAAAUAUAUAGAUGGGGAGAUUAUUAACAGUUCGUUGGAUUCGCAGGCGAACCGAGAAUUACGUGAUGUGUUCGCAUUCAAGACGAAACGAAGAAUUCUGCCGUAUCCGUUAUCGAAGCAGAAAUAACUUCGUUGAAAACAAAAAAAAAAAUGAAAAAACGAUGAUAAAAUGAAAAACCAUCCAGAGGUUCACAAUAAAAGAGAAAGUUCGCGUUCGAACAUCGAGAUACAAUAAUUUCAAACAGGGCUUUUGUAAUAUGACGAUCAACAGGAAAUACAAAGUAACAGAGUAAACCUGAAAA